AUGUGCAGGUGCAGGUGAGGAUUCUAGGCUGAAUGGACCAUUAUCUGGCUUGGCAUAGCGUUCUAUAACUUAACAUUUCAGGGUAAUUCUCUUCUUCUGACUAUACCAAGGUUCUCCUUUGCAGGAUGCCCAGGGGAGACAGAGAGGAAAGAUAAAUUCUUCCUUUUGUAAACAAAGCUUCAGAAGCCUCUAAACAAGACUGUUGCAAGAAUUAAAUAAGAUAGUGCGUUUCCGACAGAAAAUGCUCCGUAAUUGGUAACAAUAACAACCAGAUCCAAAGGUUUAUAAAGACCUACUUCCCAGUUCAGUGAAUUGAAGAAUGAGGAGAUAACUGUUUCUCUGCUAAAUGAAGAAAACUAAAAAGAGGGAAACAAAAGAUGCAACAAAAACCCUUAUUAGGAGCUGUGAGAAGAGGUUUGUCAAGAAGAGAUCACCGGUGGGGCGCCUGGGUGGCGCAGUCGGUUGAGCGUCCGACUUCAGCCAGGUCACGAUCUCGCGGUCCAUGAG